GACGAACGCUGGCGGCGUGCUUAACACAUGCAAGUCGAACGGAAAGGCCCUGCUUUUGUUGGGUUCUCGAGUGGCGAACGGGUGAGUAACACGUGUGUAUCCUGCCCUUGACUUUGGGAUAACUUCAGGAAACUGGGGCUAAUACCGGAUAGGAGCUCCUGCUGCAUGUUGUGGGUUGGAACGUUUCGGCGGUUGGGGAUGGUCUCGCGGCUUAUCAGCUUGUUGGUGGGGUAGUGGCUUACCAAGGCUUUGACGGGUAGCCGGCCUGAGAGGGUGACCGGCAACAAUGGGACUGAGAUAGGGCCCAGAAUGCAACGGGAGGAAGGAGAGGGGAAGAUUGCAGAAUGGGCGGAAGCCUGAUGAAGAAAAGCAGCGUGCGGGAUGACGGCCUACGGGUAGUAAAAAGAAUUAGAAUGAGACGAAGAGAGAGUGACGGUAAUGGGUAAAGAAGCAACGGCUAACUACGUG
rnacentral:rRNA from 1 species